GCAAAAGAAAAAUUAGAAAUACUGUCACACAUUAGUCUAUUCUUAAUUUAAUCGGUGUAAGAAAAUAGAUAUGCUCAGAGUAGGCAUAUUUUGAGCAUUUUAUGUUGCGUAUAGUAGUUUAAACAGUUGUGUAUAGGUCAACAUAGGAUAAGUUUUGGUUUAUAAUGUUAGAAGAUCCAGUUAAAAUGUUCGGUGGUAUUCAGUUCGCAUGGUAGAAUCCGAUACGCAUUGGAUGCUAUUUAAUUAAAAAUAGUGAUUUGGAUAAAUAAGUGAUUUAUCAAAUUUUGAAUUAUAGAGAAUAUAUUUGCGACGUCCGAUCGAAAAAUAAAAUUGUGAAAUCUAUUUUUGAGAAAACAACAACGACAAACGUUAUAUAAUUAAUAUACUGUUUUGAAAUAAUAUAAUUGGAUUCAAUUGGAUAAUUCAUGCGGUCAGGUAGAAAGAUGAACUCGCUUGAAAAAAAAUUAUUAUAAAUUAGCUAAACAACUGGAGUUGUAAACACAAUAUCAGGAUUUUAUGGCAGAACUAGCGCAGCACAAUUAUGAAAAUUCGAACGGCAAGAUGGAUUAACAAGAACUUUAUUGAGCCUAAUAUGGGUUAAAUAAUAUUUAGAUAGGAACAACCAUUCAAGACCAUUUAUUUUACUUCGGUUUUGUCAACAUGAGUAUGUUAUGUCAGCAGAUGUAGAGAGAAUAUAUCACGAAGUAUUAGAAUCGAAAAUAUAUAUCGAAUAUUUUAUCUGACUAAUAAUCAUUCAUUAUUCAUAAAAAAUUAUUUUAUUUUUAUUUAUGAAUAAUAUAUCAUUAUUUACUCGAAUAGGAUCAAUAAUAAUUCAAAUAAAGCUGAUAUAUAGUCUACCAAAAGGAGAAAUUUCUUUGCUAUCAUUGUACCAAUUCUUUUAUAUUUGAAUGACAGUUAGCAAUUUUGAUAUCUAGAAGAUUUAAAAGUGUACACAAUUUUGAUAAGAUUGUUGAUAUUCUCUAUUGAAUUUAUUUAGAAUUUAAUUUAAAUCCUAUAUAAAUAAAAUUGUGAUAAUAAUUAUAAACAAUGUCAAUAACUUUAUAAAAGUAUU